UACAGAGGGUGCGAGCGUUGUUCGGAAUCAUUGGGCGUAAAGCGCUUGUAGGCGGCCUGUCAAGUCGCGUGUGAAAUCCCUUGGCUCAACCCGGGAACUGCGUCCGAUACUGGCGGGCUUGAAUCCGGGAGAGGGAUGCGGAAUUCCAGGUGUAGCGGUGAAAUGCGUAGAUAUCUGGAGGAACACCGGUGGCGAAGGCGGCAUCCUGGACCGGCAUUGACGCUGAGGCGCGAAAGCCAGGGGAGCAAACGGG
rnacentral:rRNA from 1 species